AAGAAACCAAUAAUAUGAAGG
rnacentral:piRNA from 1 species